rnacentral:lncRNA from 1 species
AAUGAGGUGUAGUUGAAGUAACUAAACUGACCACUGCCAGGAACCAAACCGGAGAGAUUGUUAUACGAGAAAUCGACGGAAGUUAAGCUUUGCAUAGUGGAUAUUGAAGAAGGGAUACUACCCAGGAGAUGAUUUCUCGACAGAUUCAGGUAGUUUAAUAUCCUCAUACUUGUGAUCUCAGUCGGAAUUUGACCGGAAAGCUCGUUUCGACUAAGAUCAACAAAGGUUAACAGCUUGCAUUUGCAAAUUUCUGGUGGGAUCAAUCCUGAAAACUUGUUAUGACUGAAAUCAAUCUUUGAAAGUUGCUGCAACUUCCCAAUCUCAGCUGGGAUUGGACCCCAAAACUUGUUGCCAUCGAGAAGAAGCUUUUGAACACCGGAAAAGUUACCGACGCUAGCCGGUAAAGCCCCAGAAAGUAGGUUGUUGGAUAAGCUGAUUUGGCCGAGAUUCACGGAAAUGGAAGAAUCAGUGACCGGGAACUCCCCUGUUAGAUAGUUAUCCUGUAACUCAACUUGUGUAAGCUGUGGUAAUCCCAAAAGGCCUUUAGGGAUGGACCCGUUGAGAUAAUUUUCACCCAUACGAAUCCGACUGAGUGACUCACAUUUCCCCAGCGAUUCUGGGAUUGGACCAAGCAAGAAGUUACCCAAAGUAAUCAACGUUUGCAACGUGUUGCCGGAGCACAUGUCCGGCGGCAAAGUCCCCGUUAACUUGUUCGACGAAAGAUCUAGAACUUGAAGCUUUUUGUUACUGCCCAACUUCUGAGGAAUGCUUCCGGUGAAGUUAUUUUCCCAGAGCUGUAAGACCUCCAACUCGGGCAACUCACCAAUGAAGUCAGGAAUCCGUCCGUGGAGCUUGUUUCUGAAAAGAUUGAGAAGAGUCAAGUUUUUGAGCUGAGCGAAACUCGCGGGAAUCUCACCGGUAAACAUGUUGUUCGAUAAAUCCAUGGAUUUCAAGCUGUUUAAGGUUCCCAGCUCGGGAGUUAAGGAGCCAGACAGUGCAUUCACCUGGAGGAACAAAGUGUCGAGCCUCUGCAACUUACCGAUCUCCGGCGGUAUUUCACCGGAUAACAUGCAGUUAGCGGCGUCAAAACGAACAAGUUCCGACAAGUUCCCGACCUCCGGCGGCAAACCACCUUCGAAACUAUUGAAGUAGCCAAUGUACAACUGCUUCAGCUUCGUUAGGUUGCCGAUUUCGGGUGGGAUUUUACCGCUGAGUUCGUUACCCGAAACGGCUAAAUAUUCAAGAUGCUCCCAACGGCCGUAACUUGACGGGAUCUGACCGCUGAAAUAGUUCCCUCCCAAAUGCAAGUGACGCAAAUUGGGAAGCUCCGUGACGGAAACCGGCAACUCCCCCGUCAUGUUAUUGUUGUAUAAAUCGAGUACCUGUAGAUUUUUCAGCUGGGAAAGCUGGGUAGGAAAGGAACCAUUGAAAACAUUGUUGGAAAGGUUUAGGUAACGGAGAUUGGAUAGGACGGCGAGCUCCGUCGGGAUAGGACCGUAAAGAUCGUUGGCGGCGACGGAGAGGUUUUGGAGGAAACGGAGGUGGGCAAGCGAGGGGGAAAGAGUUCCGGACAGAGUGAAGUUAGUUAAAUCGAUGGAUGUCACGUGACGACCGGUUAAAUCGCACGUGACUCCGGCGAAUGAACAAAGGGGAGUGGUUGCAUUCCAGUUGGAGAGGUAAGAUUGAGGGUCGUCGGUAAUGGAGGAUUUAACAGCGAUAAGUGCGCGAAGCUCCGUAACGGCUCUUGCGGCGGCGCCGGCGGCAUAGCAGUGGGAAAUGUGAAGAAGGAGGAAGAGGAGGAGGAGGAGUAACCUCAUUUUCCCUGUGAUGGAAAUUGGGAGGGAAGGGAAAGUGUAAACGGAAAUGGAAAAGAAAGUGAAUAAAAAGAGUGAAGCAAGUAAGCAGAGAUGUCAUUUUAUUAUGUGUUUUUUUUUUAAUAUUAUCUUUAUUUAUAAUUAUAAUUUAAUGGUAUAUCUGUAUUUUUUAACAAUCAUUGGACAAAUUCCAUUAUUCCAAAAAGAUUUAAUUUAUAAAAUGUUAACAAAUUUAAAAAUUUUAAAAAUAAUUAAAUUAAAUUACUAGAUAUAAAAGUAAAAGGACUGAAUUCUAAAUAUACGAAGAAUACAUGGAGUUGAAGCGUAUUUUAACCCUUAUAAUUAGACCCUUUUUUUGUUCUAUUUAGAAGAAGGGUGAAGAUGGGAAAUGUUAAAAGGUAAAGCAUGAUUGAAGGAGAAUUUUGGUUUGAAGGUACUAAAUCUAAGCAAAGCUAAAAUUUCCAAACUUGUUGAAAUUAUUCCAAUUAUUUGACCCAAAAUAGAAUCAAAAAAAUUAUUAAUAGCACUCUUUUUACUAUUUUAGUCAGCCAGCCAGCUAUCAAAGUUCAAAUCAUUAAACACAAGAAAAAAAGGAGAGCAAAUAUUAGAACAAUGAGGCUUAAGCCAAAGUUGGUAAAAGGAAAUUAGGUACAAGUUUGAAUAUACAAUUUAUUUAAUAAAAUAAAUAAAUUGGUGACCAAAACUUGAGAAAUUAAAGGUAGAGGUGGUGGGAUUUUAUAAGGGUUUAUAAAUCAACUUAAAUUUGAAAAAGUUUAUUUGGUCACCCAUUUAUUAUUUUUAUUAUUAUUGAUGUGAUUGAGUAGUUUAUAUGGUUAUAAAUAGUGUUUCACAUUCUAUUUUGGUUGGAAAGAUUGAAUCGAUUGAAUUUUGAUUUAAUCGUUGUGAAGAUGCAGUAAUAAUUACUAAAAUGUUAUAAGUAAUAAUUAAUAAAUGAUUCGAUUUUUUUAUGUGUCAGAACAAUUGAUUCUUAGUUCAAUUGGUUCAAUAUCAAAAAAUUGUUGAUGUUUUAUAAAGACUUAAUUGUACUAACCAUCCCUAAAUCAUUAUUCUUAUUCUAAAUUUAUCCUUAAACUUUAAAACAUUCUGCUAUUAAAAUCGUUAAUUUAACCGUUAAAUGAGAUGUUAAAUCUUAUGUGAAACAUGAAUAUUGAAAAAGUUUUCAAAGUUUUUACAGAAAUUAUCAUUCACUCUAUUUUUUCAAUUUUACUUUAUUUUUAGUUUUUAAUCAAAAGUUAUACGAUAACAUUUUACCUUUCUUUAAAACUUUCAUUUUAAAAUAUGUCACAUAAGUUUUCACAUGUCAUUUAAAGUUAAAUUAAUAGUUUCAAUAAUGGAAGGACCUAAUAACAUUGAUAGUUCAGGAUAUAAUUAGAACAUUUUGAAGUUUGGGGACUAAUUUAGAACGAAUGUCAUAGUUUGGGAAUGUUUAGUACAAUUAAUCAUGAGAUGAGGUGUGGUGAUUGCUUACCUAAUUCCUUAACUAUGAAGUCGGGAGUUCGAUCUUUGUCUAUGAGAAUAGAACGCAUUUCAUAACCAAUCAUUUACCUCUUCAAAAAACACCAUGACGAGGGGAUCAAUCACUGCUACCAACUAUAGAGUACCCUGAUUUCAAAAAAUUUUAUGAAAAAUAGAAUUAUGAUGGUAGCAGCAUUGAUGGUAAGGAAGAUUUUGGCAAUUAUGGGAAGACUGAUUUUAGUAUUUUCUUUGGAAAAGGCAGAAAUAUAUGUAGAGCAGUUGUGGAGGUUGACCCUUUUACAAUUAUUAGGGCAUUUAUUGUUCUAUUCAUUCCAUAAACCAAAGUAAACUUUCUUUUAUUCUCACAUGCCAUCACAUAUUAAAUAUUAUCUCAUUCUUUUAUUUUUUUAAACAUAAAAAUAUCUAAUUAUUAACUUCUAAUUUCAAGAUUAAUACAAAAAUGCAUAAAAUUAGUGUUAUUAAAAUUAAAUCAAUUGGUUGAAUGAAACUCAAUUGGAAAAUUAACAAAAUCCCAUUGAAAUAAAUAGAAAUACAAAAAAUCAAAAUCGAUUAUAAUGUUUUGAGUUUGUUUUAUUUAUCGUACAAAAUCUUUAAAUUUUAACCACGACUCUAAACAAUUCUUGACUUUCUUUUAAUUUAAUGAUACAUUGAAAUUGAAUUCAUUUUAUGUUAAUUUUUUUCGGAUUUUUUCUAAUUUUUAAUAAUAUUUCCAUUUUUUUAAUUUAGCAUAUUUAAAAACAACAAUAAAAAUUUAGAGUUGUGAGCAUAACAAAAAUCAUACUAUCUAAAAAUCAAAUUUUGGUAAAAAAAAACUUUUGAUUUAAAAAAUAUAUAUUUUAUGUGUGAGAGGCUCAAUGCAACUUGAUCUAUGGUCAAAGUUCUGCAUCAAUGGUAAUAGAAAAUCAGAUUAAAUUAUCAAAUAAAGCUGUUUUUUUAAAUUACAGAAAUAUGUCGAAUUUUUGAAAAAUUAUUGGAAUGGGUCGUUUUUGAUAAAAACACUUCUAGUUGGAGUCGUUUUUAAGGAAAACUCAAACAAACACUUCUAGCCGGAAAAUAUUAAUAAAAAAUAGAAUUUAGAUAGAAGUAGAAUUUUAGUAAAAAAUUAAGAGAGAAUUCGAGAAAUUUAAGAAAGAAAUGUGAGAAAUUGGCAAGUGUGGGGUUUAUAGCUUUUUUUUUACCCUGGGGGGAGGGGGCAACGAUUAUUUUAAAUAGUCGUUGGAAGUGACCGUCGGGGGGAAACGCGUUGAGCUAGACGCGUUUUUCAUUAACGCUUCCAGCUGGAAGCGUUCUACUGGUUAGAGGGGAAAAGUGCUUUUAGCUAGAAGUGUUUUAUAAAAAACGACUCAUUCCCGUAAUUUUUAAAAAAUCGACCUAUUUCCGUAAUUUUAAAAAAUAAUUUUAUUUAAUAAUUUAGUCUAAAAAUCAUAUGGAUUAAUGAUAUAACUAAUGGAAGGAAACGAUAACAUUAUUUACUUAUAUUAUAUUUGGACCGUAUCUAUAUGAACCUUAUAUAGAAAUAUAAUAAUGAUUAUAACACAUCAUAAAUCAUCAUUUAUUUUAUGGGUUAAUUCCAAAAAACAUCCUUAAACUAUUGUCAAAACUUUAAAAUGUUCUAAUUGAGUCUUCAAAGUAUCAUUUGAUAUCAAUUAGAUCUUUUCAUCGGUCUUCCUAUUGAUUUAAGGGUUAAAUGCUAGUUCAAACAUAGAAUUGUUCAUGAGUUGAGCAGCCUUCUUGGCUCGAUUGGCUUAAUCCACGAUUAGGUUAGGCUUGAGUUUAGUUUCUUUAACCUAACUUCAAAAAUUUUUAAUAUAUAAAAAACUGAAAAUUAUAUUUUAAUUUUUUAAAUUGUGAAAUGGAUCAUUUGGAGGGGUCGAGCUUCGGUCUAGAAAUUAUUCGAACAUGACAUGAUGUAUUUUUAAAAACGCAUAAAUCAAAGUGUAAAUAUAUUACUUACUAAUUAACUUGUUAAAAAAAAGAAAAUGGCAUUAAAAUUUAAGAAAGUUAUUUCCUUUAUUUUUUUUCUUUAACACGUGAGAUUCAAACAAAUUCUGUAGUAGAUACACACAGUGGUAGAGCUUAGUAGAGACCCAAGGGGCCAUACCCCCAUAAAAUGGUAAAUUUUUAAUUUAGGUCUUUUAUAAUUUAUAAAAUUUUAAAUUAGUAAUGAUAAAAUUACACUUUGACACCCCAAAAUGAUAAAAGUUUGAUUUAGCAUUUUAAAAAUUAUAAAGAUAUACGCUAUUAAAAUGAUGAAAUUACAUUUUUACUAUCGUAAAAAUAUACAAUUUAAUUCCGCCCCCCCAAAAAAAAUUUCUAACUCCGCCAUUAAAUACACACGUGUUUACAAUUUGAUACAUGUAUUUUAAAUAUGUUCAACAUCAAAUUUAAGCUGUUAUCUAACACUCAAAUGAAUAGUGAGGAUCUAUUUAAAAUUUGAAUCAUAGUUCGAGGAUAUCUACAGGAAUUAACCCUUCACUUUAGCCCACCAAUAUCAAAUUUUUCCACCAAAUUGCUUGAAUUUGUUUUUGGCAAUUCAUAAAAGCAGGGAAAAUGAGAGGAGCUGGCAGAGGGAAAUAUGAUUAGGAUAGUUAUUGAACAUUAAUAAUUUUGGUGGAGAUUGUGGUGGUAACUAAAUAAAAAGUUUGGUCAAUUUUUGUUGUCUCUCAAGACACUAUAAUUGAUGUUUCUGGACAUACUAAACUUUGAGGGAGAUGUCAAAUUCGUUAUUGUUUUCCAUAAUUUAAUACCUCUUAUUUUAUCAUUCGUCUCAUUUCAUUAUGAAUGUAUUAUAUUAAAAAUCGUUAUCAUUUUUAUAGAUAUUAAAUAUAUCAAUUCUCGUCUUACCUCAUCUAAUUUUAAUUUGAUUUUUAUCAAAUACUUUUAAUAAUUAAUUAUAUGUAAAUAUAAAAUGAUAAUUUUAAUAACAGAUAAAAUAAACCCUCCAUCCCCAUCCCUCAUUUCACUUCGCUCCCCCCCCCAAAAUCUGCUCCAUUAAAAAGAUUGAUUCGAAAUUCAUUGGGUGGUUCGAGUUUUGUUAUUUUUCCAUGUAUAAUGCAAUUACAAAUGAUAUACGUUCUAGUAAUUAUAAUUAGAAUGAAACAAAUACAAAACAUGAUCAUACUGAAAUCUAGAAUAUAUCCCCACAAUGCCUACACAUAGUGGACUUAAAUUCAAAAUAAUUUUAAGAGAGAAGUUAUAAGUAAUUAUGCAUGGUGGGGCUUAAAUAUGGGUACGCAAAAACCUAAAUUAUCCUUGUUAUAGUUUUUUCUAAAUACUAAUAAAAUUUUGAGUAGAAUCACUUUAACUUUUGCGAUGAUAUUAAUUAUCUUUUGGCUUAAUACAGGGAGCUCUUCUGCAUUUUUUAAAUUCAUAAUGAAAAUUUUAAUUAUUAACCUUAACAUUUUAAUUAUUAACAAUAAUAAUUUUAUACACGGUCGCUCACAUUGUAAUUGAUCGUGUACAUUAUGCUUUUUUAUUUUUUAAAACUUUUUUUUGAAUAUUUUUAUAAUUUUUAAGUUAUAUGUUGAUAUAUCAUAUAAAACAAAUAGUGUAAUGUCAACAUGAAAUAUACAUCAAUUGUCAUGCAAGUUGCCAUGUGCCAUGAUACAACCUUGUAGGGCCAUUACAGCGUAGGAUGCCAAGCCACCCAUGUAGAGGAACUUGAGAAAGGGUAGAUCUUUUGUAUUUAGGAAAGUGUCUUCAUUUCAAACAUCUUUAUGUUUCCUGGUAGGCAUUUCUAUAAAAACAUUUUAGCAUCUUUGUUGGGGGUAGACAGUCAACAGUUGUUGGACUGAGCUACAAGUUAAGGUAUCACCAUCGAGGGCUACUCCUACGACCCACUAAUGGUGUGGGUAAGUGAGUCCUUUUAUAACCCCUUGUAAUGUUUUUAAUAUAAUAAACCCAUUUUUCCCUCCAGGGAAAUGUGAGGUAAUGUGAGGGCAUUUGUUAUGCCCCACGGAAUAGAAUUAUGGCUUGAGACUAACUUGUGGCAUGCUUGUCUUUAUAAACUAUUGAGAUUAUUGGCUGACUUGAGUAGAAGCGUCCAUCCAAGUGCCUCGUAGGCUUGCAACCGUAUGAACAAAGUUGAGUCUAUGAUAUGUGGUAUCCAAGCUAGCAAAAUCACAUCGUUGAGAACUAAAAAAUGCUGUAGGCAAUGUGUUAAAAGAUCCCCAUACAAGUGGCUCGAAUGACCACCACAGAAUUGAGGAAUUUGAGGCCAUGGUGGCCACCUUAAAAGCCCAUAUGGUCAUGAGUAAUCGAGCAUGAGAGAUUGAGAUAGCCUAGCGGAAGCAAUCUGAUACGGUGAACACCUUUAGUAAGGAAGCGAUUGAUGUUUUGAAUGCAAUAAAGUAGCGAUUUGAGGAAUCAAUAAAAAAUCUUGGCAAUAAUACAAGAGAUACUAUUGGGGCCGUCAAACAGGAGUUCAAUGAACUCAAGGCCCAGGUGAAUGUAAUUCAGAUGAUUGUGAGCUUAGUAGGUUGUUGCUCCACUGAUAGAGGAAAAAAAGGCCAAUGGUCUAGAAUCGCAUUGGUUUGAGGGAGCGCGGGCUGCCAAAGAGCUUGAGAACUUCCUGUUUGAUAUGGAAUAAUACUUCAAGGUGACGUGCACUAACUUGAAGGAAUACAAGGUAGUAAUGGUUACGAUGCAUCUAACGAUAGAUGCCAAGUUGUAGUGGUGUUCUAAAUUUAUCGAUGGUAAGUGCUCAUCAAAACAUGGAAUAGUUUGAGACAAGAACUGAAGAGUCAAUUCUUCCCUAAAAAUAUGGAAUACAUGGCUAGGUAGCAGCUUAAAGAGCUGGCUCAAAUGAGGAAUGUGUGAGACUAUGUGAAAAGUUUUUCCAUCUUGAUGCUAGAUAUCAAGAAAAUGUUAGAGAUGGACAAGAUUUUUACUUUCUUGAGGGGUUCAAUCCUUGGGCUAGAACAUAAAUACAAAGGCAGAAGGUGCAAGAUGGGGCUGCCACAAUGGCUAUAAUUGAGCGUCUUAAUGAUUAUAGGGACGACUCUUCGAAACGCAAGACGCCCUAUUCUAGUGGUAGUAGUUCGAGUUAGGGCAAUAUGGGGAAGGUGGCAAAAACUCAUUGCCCUUCAAAUAGAGGCAAAGAUAUAAGACCACCCUAUAAAUAUUCCACUAAAUUGAGAUCCAACAAUGCCCCUAAUGCCAAACUAAGACAACUUAUUGCUUGUUUCUUGUGUCAAUGACUUUAUCGAGUGGUUGAAUAUCCGUAUAGGGGUGAUUUGAAUGCCUUAGUGGCUUCCUCCCAAGAUAGAACUCAAGAAAAUCAAUCCAAUGAUGACAAUGAGCUUAAGUUGACCAGGAUGGGCUCGAUACAAUUCUUCAAUACCUUACAUUCAUAAUUGAAGAAGUUAAAGAAGGAACUAGGGAGGGGCCUCAUGUUUGUGGAUGUGAUAUUGAAUGGUAAAGCAACAAAAGCCAUGGUGGACACAGGUGUAGCCGAUAGUUUUAUUACGUUUGAUAAGGCAAAAAGAUGUAGGUUGAAGGUCACUAAGGACUUUGAGCAAAUGAAAGUGGUUUUUACUCUAUUUCUUUAAUGAUUUAUAGAAGCUCUGAGAAUCUGAUAAUGAAAUUAGAGUCAUGGGAAUAAGGCGUGAACUUUACAGUUUCCCUUAUGGGAUGAUUUUAAUGUUGUCUUAGGAUUGGAUUACAUGGUUACUACACAGGUGAUCUCGAUUCCCACUACAAGAUGCUUGAUGUUCUUGGAGAAACGCACAUAUGUAGGGUCUGCUACAAUUCUUCUAAUAAGUGGGAAGAUCUUGUCAGCUAUACAGUUUAAGAAAUGGGUAAGAAUAGAUGAACUUUCAUUUUCUUGACAAUCUCUAAAGCGGGAAUUGAAGUGACUUCCUUUCCAAGUGUAGUGGAAAAGGUAUUGAAAGAUUUCAAAAACAUGAUACCAGAUCAGUUCUCGAAAGUAUUACCACCAAGGAGAACUAUGAACGGUAAGAUUUAGUUAAUUUUAAGGGUGAAGCCACCAGCAAGAUGCUCAUAUGGGAUAACUCCACAAGAAUUAGCUAAGUUGAUGAAGCAAUUGGAUGAGCUGCUUUAAGCAGGUUUCAUUCGCCCUUGGAAGGCAUCCUAUGAAGCCCUUGUUCUAUUCCAAAAGAAGUAUGAUGGGAGUUUGAGAUUAUAUUGACUACUGAGCCUUAUACAAAGUGACUGUGAAGAACAAGUACUUAAUCCCUUUGAUUGUCGACUUAUUUGAUUAGUUGAGCCAUGCCAAGUAUUUCACAAAACUUGAUCUUAGAUCGGGCUACCAUCAAGUCAGAAUUACGGAGGAAGAUAAGCCAAAGACAGCAUGUGUAACAUGGUAUAGAGCUUUCAAAUUUCUUAUUAUGCCAUUUGGACUAUCCAAUGCUCCUGCUACAUUUUGUACAUUAAUGAACCAAGUAAUUCAUGAUUACUUGGACAAGUUCGUGGUCAUUUAUCUCGAUGAUAUAAUAGUCUAUAGUCUUUCGUUGGAGGAACAUUUGAGGCAUUUGUGAUUGGUAUUUGUAUUAGAAAAAAUCUGGUUCAAAAAUGGUAUUCUCUACUAUUCUCGUACCAUGAACUACUUUGAAUGUCGGCUCAUACAAUUACGAAUCAAACACAGAACCAUAAAUAAUUUUUGUACUUUCAGUAGAAAAGUAAAUUUCUCUCUUAUAGAAACUGGUAGAAUUGUUAUUCUUAAAAAAUAUAAUUUAUACUUAGAAAUAAAUUCACUAUUUUCACUGGUUCCAACUAUUUAUAGGGAGAGGAAGUGAAACCUUAGUUAAAUUAGUAGAAUGCAUUUAAUGCCUAUUUAAUAGAAGAAGAAAAAAACCAAUCCCCUAGUUGAACUAGGAGAGAGGGGCGACUAAUUAGGUUUGUCUCCUCUUAUAUGUAUUAUGAUGGGGAUUCAAGUCUCUUCUGUAUUGGGUUCAAUUAUAUGUGUUUCCUAAACUUUUAACUCAACACUUUAUAACUUAAUUCAACUCAUGUAGUCACGAAGUCAUUCCACUAUAAUAUCAUGAUUGAUAGACUUCCUCACAACAAAGUCAAUAAAGACGUCGACAGAUUAAGUGGAGAGGGUGUCAUGAUCCAACCUUGUAAGUUCAUGACAAGGUAGAAUGCUAAAGGUCCACCUAUGUAUAGAGGCCAUGGCAAAGGGUAGAUUUUUUGUAUUUAGGAAAAUGUCUUUAUUGCAAACAUCUUUACGUUUCCUGGUAGUGUUCCUAUAAAACAUUUUAGCACCUUUGUAGGGGAUGGACAGUCAACAAUUGUUGGGUUAAGCCAUUAGUUAAGGUAUGUGCUUGGUCACCAUUGAGGGUUUGCCCCUACGACCCAUCGAUGGUGUGGGUAAGUGGACCCUUUUAUAACUCGUUGUAAUGUUUUUAAUAUAAUAAACCCAUUUUUUCCUUUUGGAAAAUGUGAGGUAAUGUGAGGGCAUCCGCUAUGCCCCAUAGGGCUGAAUUGUGGCUUGAGGCUAACUUGUGGCAUGCUUGUCUUAACAAACUAUCGAGAUUGUUGGUUAACUUUAGUGGAAGCAUCCAUCCAAGUGCCUCGUCGGCUUGCAACCGAGGGAACAAAGUUGAGUAUGUGACAUCAUGCCAACAUCGUUAUUAGAUUAAUAUUCUAGUCAAUAUUUCCACUAAAGAGCAACAAUUUGACUUUUUUUAUAUGUUAAUAGUCAAAUUUAGCUAAAAAAAGAGUGACAAUCAAAUUAACAAAAAUUGUAAACCUUGAGAACUAAUUUUAUCACUUUCAUUAUCUUAUGCAUUUUUUAAAUAAUAAACUUAAAAAAAUAUCGAACCCAAAAGAAAAAAAAAACUUAGAAAAUAUUUGUAUAGUGGGAGAUUCAUUGAUUUUAUCAUUUUAUAUGUUUUCUUUUCAAACAACCUUUUCCUAUAGUAGUAUAAAACUUAAAUACAAUGGUGAAAUCAGAAAAAAAUUUUAGGGAAGUGAAAUUAAAUUGUAUAUUUUUACGAUAGUAAAAAUGAAAUUUCAUCAUUUUAAUAUCAAUAUCUUUAUAAUUUUUAAAAAAUUAAAUCAAAUUUUUAUCAUUUUAAGGGGGCCAGAGUGUAAUUUUACCUUUGUUAAUUUAAAAUUUUUAUACAUUUUAAAGGGGCCUAGAGAAAAAAAAUUUCAUUUUAAGGGGGUCAGGACCUCUGUCAGCCCCCCUUGAUUACGCCCCUGCUUAAAUAUACAUUUGAUCCUUCAAUUUGACAUUUUCUCUCAAAUUGGUAUUAUGAUUUUUUAUCUCAACUUGAUACCCAAAAUAUUUUUUCGUCCACAACUCCGGUACAUUUUUGUAAUGCUAUUAAAUCUAAAACAAAGGACACCACAUAUUAUAGUGAUGACAUCAUAAUGAUAUCAUCAUUCGAAAACUAUAAAAAUUAAAAAAUAUGGAAAUUUAAAAAAAUAUAUAAAUAAAAAUUCCAAAAAUAAAUAUAUACAUCUAAAUUUUAAAUUUCUAAAUAUAUAUAAAUUAAAAAAAAAUCUAAAAAGCAUCUCUAAACCCAUAAAUAUCAACCCCUCAAAAAAAAAUUUCAACAAUUAUCUUCUUUCCACCAUCAUCUUCUUAUUCAAUUUAGUUAAAAAAUUCUAAAGCUAAGAGCCUUCACCCUCACAAUUUAAUUUAACAACCAUCCACCCUCACUAUCCCUACUCUCAUAAAUCAAUUUGGAUUUAUUUUCCAAAAAUAAUUAUAAAAAAAAAAACCCCCCACAAAGUUGUAAAUUGGAAAACCAAUGAACUACACGAUUUGAUUAUUUGAAUUGUUUUAUUUUAUCCUAUUAGAAUUGGUUUAUUUUUUAUUUUAUCCGAUUUUUUUUAUAACAAUGCAAAAAAAAAUGACCUUAGUAAUUUGAUUUUCUAAUUUUGUAUAGUAGCAACCCAGAAAAUCAAUUCUAUAACCAUGAAAGUUUUGGAAGGGUGGAAUUUGGUGAAGAAUUCUAGGGGUAGGCAGUAGGGAGUUGAAGAUCAACUUUCUUUUUACUGGAUUUUUAUUCCAAUAGAAAAAGGAGGGUUUGAAGGCAUGGAAUUGGAAAUCUAGGAAAAAGAAAGUCAAGGUUGCAUGAAUGAUCUUUGAUGGAAGGAGAGUAGAAAGAGAUGAAGAGAAGUAAACAAACACAUUAUCUAAAACUAAGUCAAUUGAAUCUUACUUCGAUUGGUAUGGGCAUUGUUGUUAAUGCAAGAAGACAUAGAUUUGAGUGCAAUAAAAUACAUUAUCCUCCUAUUUAUGUGUUGGAAAAGAACUAUAAUAGAUAAAAAAAAUUGGGACAACAAAAAAGAAUAAGUACCAACUUAAAAAAAUAUCAAAUUCAGGGGUGAAAUGUUAAGCCUUAAAAAGAAACACUGAGCCCAAAGCUUUUUCCAACCCAGAAAACACGACGUUCUUGUACCUAAAACCAAUCUAUCACUGUUUUUUUAUAUUGCCUUGAAAGCAGUUCUUUAUGUCCCCUCGAGCAAUUAAGUAUCCAUAGAUUAUGAUGAUAAUUCAUACAUGUAAUGUGACUGUUUAUGUGCUUAUCCAUUAAAUAUUUCACUUUGAUUUUCGAUAAAACAGCUGUUUCAUAAACUCAAACAGAAAGGGAAGAAAACUAGCAGUACAGCAUGAUGAAAGACGAGCUUCUUCCUUUUUUAUAACAAAAUACCCCCACCAAUCCUACUAUACACAAGAAAAGGAAAAAAAAAAAACACCAAACGUUUAAACACCUUAAAGUUAGAGCAAAAAGAACACUAAGUAGUAAUAAAACUACCAUCCCUUUGGAACAUUAACAUCCUUAAAUGCUAAGAAGAUCAGGUGGUGUUGAUUUACGUGCUGGUGGCUGUUGCUGGUCUUUUGUGAUUGUUGUUGUAGGUGGGUCUAGGGUUGUGCACGGUGCCGGUGAUGUUGGGGACUCUGAGUUUGGUGGUUUUGGGAGUUCAGUUAGGAUUUGAACCACUUCCCUCAUUGUCGGUCUCUCUACGGCCUGUUCUUCAACACAGAGCAUCGCAACGUAGAAAACAUGCAUCACUUCGUGGAGAGGAACCGAUGGGAGUCUGGGAUCGAGGACUUUGAGGACGCCUUCUUUGUUUGAAUCUGUCAUCUUUCGAACCCAUUGAACAAUGUCGACACCGUCACCGAACUCACCUACUGGUUUUCUGCCACAGACGAGUUCUAACAGGACUACACCAAAGCUAUACACAUCACUCUUCUCGUCUACCUUCAGCGUGUAGGCAUAUUCUGCGAAAAAUACAGAGGAAUUAUAUGAAAUUCUAAGGGAAAUUAGUACUGGACAGUUAGAACCACCAAUUUUGGUUGGUCAAACUAUAACUAAAUUGAUGUACUUUGAAACCUGCAUAUAUUGAUUGAAAUGAAGAAAAUAUGAACUUCAAUAGCACCAAAUCAUGGUAACACACAGUCAAAACCAAAGUACAGUAAAAAUUAUUGGUAGUAUUAAUGCAUAAUCCGUGAUCCAAUCCCAAAUCAUUAAAAAAGUCAAAUGAAACAUCAAGCAAGUUCUUUGAACCCUUCUGUUAAAAAGAAUAGUAUAUACCUGGAGCAAUGUAUCCGUAUGAACCGGCUAUGGCGGACAUGCAUUCGGAAGUGCCUGAAUCUUGCAGGAAUUUAGCAAGGCCGAAAUCAGCAACGUGAGCUUCAAAAUCUGAGUUGAGGAGAAUAUUGUUCGAUUUCACGUCCCGGUGGACUAUCAAAGGGGAACAAUCAUGAUGAAGGUAGCAUAGUCCCUUAGCAGCCUCUACAGCGAUCUUGUAUCUGGUAUCCCAGUGCAAAUGACCCCCUUUCUUGCCAUGAAGAACCUCUCCUAAACUCCCAUUAGGCAUAUACUCAUAAACCAAGAGAUUGGUUUCAUGGUUUGAGCAAAAACCCAACAAUCUCACAAUAUGCCUGUGCCUAAUCCUCCCCAGAGUUUGUAUCUCAGCAUUGAAUCCGUGAUCAUGGGAAGACCCUCGGCUCAUUGCCGGUAACCUUUUAACGGCAACAUGGUCACCACUAGGCAUGGAUCCCUUGUACACAAUCCCAGCACCUCCUUUGCCUAUAAUAUUAUCCUCCUUCAAACAAUCCAAAACAUCAUCACAAGUAAAAUCCAAGCGCUGGAACGCGGUUAACUUCCAAGCCCGAGAAUCACUCGCUUUCUUCAAGGACCGUGCUUUGAUUAUAGCCGCAACUGCAAACAAGAUGGAGAAGACAAGCAGGCCUAUAACGAGCAAAAGUUUCAAAGAUGCAGAGAGUCCACCUUUAAUAUGAGUUUCAUGAGUUCCUUUAGCAACCCCAUCUUUGCAAGGCCCCAAAUAAGGACCACACAGCUCAGGGUUCCCCAAAAAUGAGGUGUAGUUGAAGUAACUAAACUGACCACUGCCAGGAACCAAACCGGAGAGAUUGUUAUAAGAGAAAUCAACUGAAGUUAAGCUUUGCAUAGUGGAUAUUGAAGAAGGGAUGCUACCCAGGAGAUGAUUUCUCGACAGAUUCAGGUAGUUUAAUAUCCUCAUACUUGUGAUCUCAGUCGGAAUUCGACCUGAAAGCUCGUUUCCACUAAGAUCAACAAAGGUUAACAGCUUGCAUUUGCAAAUUUCUGGUGGGAUCAAUCCUGAAAACUUGUUAUGACUGAAAUCAAUCUUUGAAAGUUGCUGCAACUUUCCAAUCUCAGCUGGGAUUGGACCCGAAAACUUGUUGCCAUCUAGAAGAAGCUUUUGAACA